UACGGAGGGUGCGAGCGUUGUCCGGAAUCACUGGGCGUAAAGGGCGCGUAGGCGGCCUGGUAAGUCGGGGGUGAAAUCCUGCGGCUUAACCGCAGGGCUGCCUUCUAAACUGUCAGGCUCGAGCACGGUAGAGGCAGAUGGAAUUCCCGGUGUAGCGGUGAAAUGCGCAGAUAUCAGGAGGAACACCAAUUGCGAAGGCAGCUCGCUGGGACGUGACUGACGCUGAGACGCGAAAGCGUGGGGAGCAAACAGG
rnacentral:rRNA from 1 species